UUAUUAGCAAUACCAAGAUAAGUUAUUGAAGCAUUUUUAGUAUUGUUUUACAUUCCAUUCAUAAAUGACCUAACUUGUAACUCAGCAUACAGCACACUUAAAGAUAUAGUUUGACACUUAUUCAGAAAGCUACAAUUAUGAUAACUUACAUGCCUUCAUUACCAGGAACACCUUAAUAUAUCUUCUAAUUACUUCAACAAUACUCUAUUCCAAAGCACAUGAUAACCCAGUACAAGUUUACACAUUUUGCUUCAAUCACCAUUUUUUUUUUUUAAGUUGUGAAUGUCAAGGUGCUGUUCGCUGGAAUUUUACUGUCAUCUGUUCCUGGUUAAUACGACGACCUGACACAAUAUUAAACUAGCAAUGUUUCUGCUUAAAUACUAUGGAGAAAGAUAAUUACUGCACUUUUCUGUAUUCUUCUAAAAGUGUUACAAAAUACAGGACAAUCAGACACAAGUGGUAAUGCCCACAAGACCACCACGGGGGGCCCCCCUUUAUAAACUCAGGUGAGCUGGUAGUACAGACCCCCAGCCAGGUGUUUUAUAAGUGAAGGGACCUGCCAUCCAUCCACCAGCAUUUGUCACUCAGGAUUUAUGACUCGGAGGGAAUUUUCUCUCCCGUACAAGUUAGGAAGUCUACACAAUCCAUGACUAAUAGUGGAACAUAUGGGGCAAUAUUUUUAGCCUCCCUGAUUCUUUGCUAUAUAUACUGUAGGUUGGUGUGCCGUGUGUAUACACAUACCUAUGCCAAUAGUAAUUAUUUAUUCAACACACAUAUGUGUAUACAUUCUUCUCUUGAUUUUACACGAUUAAAAGCUUCAGAUAACCACCGAAGAGCACGAACAGACAAGGGCAAGUCCAGAUAGACCGACUAGGACAGGGGGGUCACUUACCUGCAAGAAAAUUGCAGAUUCGUUAAACAAUCCAGAAACCACAUGGGCUAGAGGCAUUUGAAAACUAGGGCAGGGCCACAUCUCCUAAUUGUUUAAUAGAAUAAUGACAAUAAAGCAAUAUUUAUAACAUUUGGUCCUUCCGUCUCUGGCAAAUGCAAGAAUAGUCUACAUGAUUAGAGCAGGUUGGCAAUUAGACGUAGAGGUGCUGUUGAUCAGCACUAAGUAAUAGGAGAUAAUUACUACUUAUUUGAAACCUGGGCUGUGCACACAUCUGAGAAGGAAAAAAAGGAAGAAAGAACCUGAUUCUCUCAGCUGCUAACAUGUGGCCUGAAUCUAGAUCCUGUCCGUUCCUACCCUCACCUCCAUUCAGCAGCCUCAGGAGGUAGGAGCCAAAGCUUAAACCCAGGGAAUCUGCCUGCAUCCAACAUAAGACAUCCAUGAAGCCACACAACUUCUAAUUUAGAUGGUGGUGCCUGGUACUGGAGAAUUUGCAUUUCUCCGGGGACCUGAGUAUCUGUUCUGACAACACUCUCUUCUCUCAAAAUUCUCUUCCUCCCUCCCCCAAUAUGAAGGCAUUACCAGGAAAAAAUAAUAAAUACAUAUGCAUAUUUUGAACCAAAGAGCUUGGUUGCUCUCUCCUGUCUCUCAGACUUGAUUCUGGGCAGUAGGCAUCAUGUGAUCCAAGGAGAAUAUGGACACAACAACCGACAUUAACACUACAAGACUUUUCUCCUGCUUCAGAGGCACUGUUGAUUCAGACAGUAGCUUUUGGAGCCAAAAAUAUGCAGCAAAAGGAAAGGAACAUAAACAAGGCUAAAUGUCACCAGUGUUUGCCGACAUACAGACACCAUCCAUUUGUUUGUUCUGAAAUGACGAGUGGACCAUUUGGCAAAUUCAAUGGUAUUCACACAACAGUUCUGUCAUCCCGCAGUGCAAGUGACAUCACAUCAGUGGCAUUCCCAUUUCAUUUAAAAAGAGAGACUGGGAAAAGGAGAAGGAGAAGAAAGCCAAAAGAUUUUGGAAAGGGCUGCCAUCCAAAGAGGCCGCCUCUUUGUCAAAAGUGGUGUGCAGAGCACAGCUCUGGAUGAGGGAAGAGGAGAGAGAGAGG
rnacentral:lncRNA from 1 species